UCAUCACCUCAUGUAUUUAGCCUCUGUGUUCCCUUUGUCUCUUGUUAGAUCGUCUUGUGUUGCUUCCCUGUGCCUUGUGUCUGUUCCUGCGUGUAUCAGUUUGCUCCUGCCGGUUUUGCCCGUCAGUUUGUUAUUUCGAGCAGGCAGUAUGGUGUGGUGAUCGGCAGAUCCAAGUGGGGGCAGGGAAACAGAUUUAUAUGCCAUAGUGACCGACUCCGGCAGUCAGCUGAUAGUAGUGUACUAUACGACCUCAUCAGUAACAGAUGCCCCGACUCUGCUGACCGGACGGUGAGGGUGGAGGGAAACGGACUGGAAACAUCAAACUCCUUCUCCUUCAACCUGUUCCAGUUCUCUGGGAUAGUCAGUGACGUCUACCUGCACUGCAGACUGGAGUGGUGUCCCUGCUCUCCGUCAACUGAUCAAUGGAGCAGACUUAGCAGAGGAGAUCGAUAGACAGACAGACAAACAGACGGACGGACAGAGAGACGGACGGACAGAGAGACGGACGGACAGAGAGACGGACG